GACGUAGGGCGCGAGCGUUGUCCGGAUUUAUUGGGCGUAAAGAGCUCGUAGGCGGCUUGUUGCGUCAGCUGUGAAAACCCGCAGCUCAACUGUGGGCUUGCAGCUGAUACGGGCAGGCUUGAGUUCGGUAGGGGAGACUGGAAUUCCUGGUGUAGCAGUGAAAUGCGUAGAUAUCAGGAGGAACACCGAUGGCGAAGGCAGGUCUCUGGGCUGACACUGACGCUCAUGCACGAAAGCGUGGGGAGCAAACAGG
rnacentral:rRNA from 1 species